CAUGCAAGUCGAACGGAAAGUGCUCUUCGGAGUGACUCGAGUGGCGAACGGGUGAGUAACACGUGGGUGAUCUGCCCUGCACUUUGGGAUAAGCCUGGGAAACUGGGUCUAAUACCGAAUAGGACCGCAUGCUUCAUGGUGUGUGGUGGAAAGCUUUUGCGGUGUGGGAUGGGCCCGCGGCCUAUCAGCUUGUUGGUGGGGUAAUGGCCUACCAAGGCGACGACGGGUAGCCGGCCUGAGAGGGUGUCCGACCACACUGGGACUGAGAUACGGCCCAGACUCCUACGGGAGGCAGCAGUGGGGAAUAUUGCACAAUGGGCGCAAGCCUGAUGCAGCGACGCCGCGUGAGGGAUGACGGCCUUCGGGUUGUAAACCUCUUUCAGUAGGGACGAAGCGUAAGUGACGGUACCUAUAGAAGAAGCACCGGCCAACUACGUGCCAGCAGCCGCGGUAAUACGUAGGGUGCGAGCGUUGUCCGGAAUUACUGGGCGUAAAGAGCUCGUAGGUGGUUUGUCGCGUUGUUCGUGAAAACUCACA
rnacentral:rRNA from 1 species